GACAGAGGUCCCGAGCGUUAGGCGGAAUCACUGGGCUUAAAGCGUGUGUAGGCGGAUGCCUAAGUACCUUGUGAAAUCCCACGGCUCAACCGUGGAACUGCUGGGUAUACUGGGUGUCUUGGGCCAUUCAGGGGCGACUGGAACAAGCGGUGGAGCGGUGAAAUGCGUAGAUAUCGCUUGGAACGCCGAAGGUGAAAACAGGUCGCUGGGGAUGUGCCGACGCUGAGACACGAAAGCCAGGGGAGCAAACGGG
rnacentral:rRNA from 1 species